UACGUAGGGUGCAAGCGUUGUCCGGAAUUAUUGGGCGUAAAGAGCUCGUAGGCGGCCUGUCGCGUCGGCUGUGAAAACCCGAGGCUCAACCUCGGGCCUGCAGUCGAUACGGGCAGGCUAGAGUUCGGUAGGGGAGACUGGAAUUCCUGGUGUAGCGGUGAAAUGCGCAGAUAUCAGGAGGAACACCGGUGGCGAAGGCGGGUCUCUGGGCAACAACUGACGCUGAGGAGCGAAAGCGUGGGGAGCGAACAGG
rnacentral:rRNA from 1 species